GAUGAAGAACGCAGCGAAAUGCGAUAAGUAAUGUGAAUUGCAGAAUUCAGUGAAUCAUCGAAUCUUUGAACGCAUCUUGCGCUCCUUGGUAUUCUGAGGAGCGUGCCUGUUUGAGUGUCAUUAAAUUCUCAACUACACUGACUUUGAAUUGGUGUGGCUUGGAUUUGGGGGGAAAAUUGUUGUGGGCUUUUUGUAUAGUCUGCUCCCCUGAAAUUGAUUAGCGGUACCUUUGUGGAACUGUCUACAGGUGUGAUAAUUAUCUACAUCUUAGACAUCUGCUGGAAUGCUGCUUUCUAAACCUUACUUGUAUUGACAAUCUUGACCUCAAAUCAGGUAGGACUACCCGCUGAACUUAAGCAUAUCAAUAAGCGGAGGA
rnacentral:misc_RNA from 1 species